UUUAAUGAAUGGCCGUUGCAGAAGGUUUGGGUUCGAGAGGCCAUGCCGCCUCUGGGAAUCUGGGAUAGAGAUAGAGAGAGGGAGAGGGAGACAGCGCGAAAGAGAGAGAGGGAGAGAAAGGAGUAGGGAUCCCUCGCUGAGGGUUUCGCAUUUGGGAGGUCAUGCUUAUGGAGAUAGAGAUAGAGAUAGGAGAGGGAGAGGGAGAUCAACCACGAUCCCGGUCACGGUGCUCCGUUGGCCCGCGUCAGCUUCCGCCAUCCGUUCAGGUACAAUAAGCAGAACGAGCUCUUCGUUGCCGCCGAGGGAAAGAGAUGGGAGUAUUUCUGCGAUUUGCAGAGAGAGAUGGGACAAGGAUGAGAGAAAGGGAGAUGAGAGGAUUUUGUGCGAGGAUUGAAGGGAACGGGUAUGGGAGUAUGGGUUUACAGGCAAUGGUAUGGGCUGCACAGAGAUGAGAGGAUUUUCUCCACCACCGCUCUCUCUCCCAACUCUCUCUCUCUCUGAGUGGCUCGAAGAAAAACGAAGAAGACGAAGAGGGAAGUCUACGAUUGCCUACAGAUCUAAGGUUAGGGUUUCGGAGGGGCAUCUUGUGCGUUUUGGGGGAAGAGGAAGAGGAUGGAUUCGGUCCCUUCGAACUCACAUGCGAACCUGGAUGAACAGAUUGCUCAGCUCAUGCAGUGCAAUCCCUUGUCCGAACAAGAGGUUUCUUGGGUAGCUGUGGAACAUCAGAGUACAUCACUCUCAAACACCCACUCUUGGGAACCGACCUUCCAUGCUGGGUUUCUCAAAUGUUAAUUAAUUUGUUCCUUUUAUGGACCAAGAAUGUAAAAGGUACGGAUCUGGCAAUUUUUUUUUUUACGAAUUGAAGAAUACAAAAGGCAUGGUUUUAGCAAGUUGUAUAAGAAGACGCAAGACCCAGGGGAGGAAAAGAUAAGGAAAGGUAUUCAUGCAUUAGUGUUUAAUAUUGAUCAAAUAGUGCAUGAAUUGUGUGGCAAGUAUGCUGAGAAGAGAAACACAGAUGGAAUUUGGGGAUGCAAGGAUUGUGGAAAAACUGAAGCUAGCACUGCUAGUUCUUAAAUCGUUAAAAUUGCAAAAGAGGAGGAUUUUAGUAAUUAAGGGUAUAUUCGUACUUUCAUUCAACUUUUGGUUAUAAUUAUCAACAAUUUAAAAGGGUGGUUAUAAUUCUAUACAGGGACCAAAUUUUGGUGUAAAUGUGUUUUUGGCUACUCCAACCUCUUAUCUUGGCAGGAUUUUGGCAUGCAUGCAAGGAACUCUGGUUGUGGGAGGAAGAAGCCAGUUCCUUACUAUUUUUAGCAGUAUUCUCCAUAGCUGAUGACGGCACAAGUACAUUUCAGUCCAUUAGUGACGGUGAGACUGUAGUUUCAACUGGCGGAACAUUUGAGCUAGGAUUUUACAGUCCCGAUGCUUCUAAUAGACGGUAUGUGGGGAUAUGGUACAAGAAGAUUUCUGUUAAAACCAUUGUAUGGGUUGCCAACAGAGACACACCCCUCACUGAUUUGUUUGGCGUCCUGAAGAUCACCAACCCCGGAAUACUUGUCCUCAACCACAACAUGAGCACAAUUUGGUCCUCCAACACAUCGAGAACUGCACAGAAUCCAGUGGCACGUCUUUUGGACUCGGGUAAUCUUGUUGUGGUAGAUAGGAGUGAUGAUGACCCUGAGAACUUUCUGUGGCAAAGUUUUGAUUACCCUGGCGAUACAUGCCUACCAGGUGCGAAGCUUGGUAGGAACACAGUUACAGGCUUCAAUUGGCAUCUUAGAUCAUGGAAAAGUCCUCAGGAUCCUUCUCCAGGUAAUUAUACAUAUCAAUUUGGUCCCAAAGGAUAUGCAGAAAUGUUUCUGAGGGAAGGUUCUGUCAUAAAAUUUCGGAGUGGACCAUGGAAUGGAGUCCGGUUCAGUGGAAUGCCGCAGUUAAGUCCAAACCCUAUAUACACAUACGGUCUUGUUUUUGAGACUGAUGAAAUGUACUACAGUUACAAGCUUCGCAACAACUCAAUCCUUUCGAACAUGGUGUUAACUUCAGAGGGGCUUUCACGGCGCUAUAUAUGGAUUGAUAGAACCAAAGAUUGGUUUCUUUACCUAACAGCCCAGAUUGAUAACUGUAACAACUAUGCAUUCUGUGGUGUAUAUGGCACAUGUAACAUUGAAAAGUCCCCGGUAUGUAGCUGUUUGAAAGGAUUUACCCCAAAGUUUCCAAACGAAUGGGAUUUGGUGGAUUGGUCAAAUGGCUGUGUGAGAAAGACUUCUCUAAAUUGCACCGGAGACGUGUUCCAAAAGUACUCGGGGUUGAAAUUGCCUAGCACAGAACAAUCCUGGUUUAACAGAAGUAUGAACCUCAAGGAAUGUGAGAUGGUGUGCAUGAAGAACUGCUCCUGCACGGCUUAUACAAAUUUGGAUAUCCGAGAUGGAGGAAGCGGGUGUUUGCUGUGGUACGGCGAUCUAAUUGAUAUAAGAUACUUGGCUGAAAACGGGCAAGAUAUUUAUAUAAGAAUGGCUUCAUCGGAACUAGACAAUACAAAGAUCGACGCUAAAUACUCUGAAUCCAAUGUGAAGAAAAUGAGAAUCAUAAUAAGCACUACUGUGUUGUCUACCGGACUGCUGAUCAUGGGCCUGGCCCUGCUGUUUUAUGUUUGGAAGAAGCAGCACCAGAAAGGUGGUAAGUUGGCUAUACUAUUCUGCUUCUCUGCUUUACAAGUUACAUAGUUCUGUUGUAUAGGGAAUUUUUUUCACCCCUGUAACUGUGUCUUUGCAGGAAAACUGGGAUGCGGCCAAAAGGAGGAUCUUGAAUUACCGUUAUUUGAUUUGAUGACUGUAGUUUCUGCAACCAGUAACUUUUCAAGUGAAAACAAACUUGGUGAAGGAGGUUUCGGAUCUGUCUUUAAGGGUACAAUGAAAGAUGGACAAGAAAUCGCAGUGAAAAAGCUUUCAAAAGUUCUCAACAAGGGCUCGACGAGUUCAAGAAUGAAGUUACACAUAUUGCCAAACUUCAGCACAGGAAUCUAGUGAAGCUUCUUGGAUACUGCAUUCAAGAAGACGAGAUGAUGCUGAUCUACGAGUACAUGCCUAACAAGAGCUUAGACUUCUUUAUAUUCGAUCAAAGAAGAAGGAUGUUAUUAGACUGGCCGAAGCGCUUUGAAAUUAUUAAUGGGAUAGCUCGAGGGAUCCUCUAUCUUCAUCAAGAUUCUAGACUGAGAGUUAUCCAUAGAGAUCUCAAAGCAAGUAACAUUUUGUUAGGCAGUGAAUUUAAUCCGAAAAUCUCAGACUUUGGCCUGGCUAGAAGCUUUGGAGGAAAUGAAACGAAAACAAAAACGAAGAAAGUGGUCGGAACAUACGGUUACAUGUCCCCAGAAUAUGCAAUUGAUGGUUUCUACUCUAUAAAGUCCGACGUCUAUAGCUUUGGUGUUAUGGUGCUAGAGAUAGUGAGUGGGAGCAGAAAUAGAGGAUUCUCUCAUCCAGACCACAAACUCAACCUUCUUGGACAUGCGUGGAUGCUACACACAGAAGGCAGGCCUCUCGAAUUGCUUGAUACAUCGGUAGAGGACUCCAUCACUUUGCAUGAAGUUGUACGAACAAUUCAUGUGGGUCUUUUGUGUGUGCAGAGGAAUCCAGAAGAUAGGCCAAGCAUGUCGGCUGCAGUUCUAAUGUUGGGUGGUGAAGGUGCAUUGCCCCCACCUCUAAAACCUGGUUUCUACAGUGAAAGGGAUUUGACUGAACUUGAUGCCGGUCAUUCUUCUAAAGCAUGCUCAGCUAAUGAUGUCACUAUUUCACUACUUGAGGCUCGAUAAAAUAUUGGAAAUGAUUUUCGCACACAUGGCUUUAUUUUGUCUCUUGAUUUUCCUAUGACUUUUUCAAUUGGAAGACAAUGUUAUAUGAGUCAUUGUCACAUAGUGACACUCUUUUGGCCGAUUCACAAAAGUUUGUGAAUAUGAUCAGAACUAUCAUGUUAUAAAUCGAUUUGUAAAGAUAA